GCUGGCGGCGUGCCUAAUACAUGCAAGUCGAGCGGACCGNAANNNGGGCUUGCNCUUNUUNGGUCAGCGGCGGACGGGUGAGUAACACGUGGGCAACCUGCCCGCAAGACCGGGAUAACUCCGGGAAACCGGAGCUAAUACCGGAUAACACCGAAGACCGCAUGGUCUUCGGUUGAAAGGCGGCCUUUGGGCUGUCACUUGCGGAUGGGCCCGCGGCGCAUUAGCUAGUUGGUGAGGUAACGGCUCACCAAGGCGACGAUGCGUAGCCGGCCUGAGAGGGUGACCGGCCACACUGGGACUGAGACACGGCCCAGACUCCUACGGGAGGCAGCAGUAGGGAAUCUUCCGCAAUGGGCGAAAGCCUGACGGAGCGACGCCGCGUGAGCGAAGAAGGCCUUCGGGUCGUAAAGCUCUGUUGUGAGGGACGAAGGAGCGCCGUUCGAAGAGGGCGGCGCGGUGACGGUACCUCACGAGAAAGCCCCGGCUAACUAC
rnacentral:rRNA from 1 species